CCCCUAGAUGUUCUGGGCCGCACGCGCGCUACACUGAACAGUUCAACAAGUCUUAACCUUGGCCGAUAGGUCUGGGUAAUCUUUGAACGCUGUUCGUGAUUGGGAUAGACCUUUGCAAUUAUGGGUCUUCAACGAGGAAUUCCUAGUAAACGCGAGUCAUCAGCUUGCAUUGAUUACGUCCCUGCCCUUUGUACACACCGCCCGUCGCACCUACCGAUUGAAUGGUCCGGUGAAAUCUCGGGACGGCGGCUUGGUCGCUUGCGUCCGACUGCUGAAACUUGAUUAAACCAUAUCAUUUAGAGGAAGGUGAAGUCGUANCA
rnacentral:rRNA from 1 species